GUGGCACUAACGAGUGUCCGCCCCGUUUACUUUCAUUCCCCUCUCUUUCUUCUUCUACGUCUUAACAGUAUUGCCAGAGACAGUAUUUCACUAUCGCGUUCGGCCCUCGUGCCCAUUACGGUGCGUACAAGACGAUUAAAGAACCGCGGAGAUAGGUACGAUGAUAUUUCCCGACGUGUAAAUUUGAUUCCCCUCCGCUCCUUCGCCCGGGUAUUUUUAUAGGAAUCGUUUCGACGAUAAUAUCGUUUUCGUCCGCAGACAAAAACUGUUGUUAAAACGCAGAAACAAACGGAUAAACUACCGUACACCGUAAAAAAUAUAUGUACGCUCGGUGGGACGGCGUUUGUUCCCCGCUAUUGAACGCGCGGUCAGUUCGUUUUU